rnacentral:rRNA from 1 species
UACGUAGGGGGCUAGCGUUGUCCGGAUUUAUUGGGCGUAAAGAGCGUGUAGGCGGCCAGGUAGGUCUGCUGUGAAAACUCGAGGCUCAACCUCGAGACGUCGGCGGAAACCAUCUGGCUAGAGUCCGGAAGAGGAGAGUGGAAUUCCUUGUGUAGCGGUGAAAUGCGCAGAUAUCAGGAAGAACACCCGUGGCGAAGGCGGCUCUCUGGGACGGUACUGACGCUGAGACGCGAAAGCGUGGGGAGCGAACAGG